rnacentral:rRNA from 1 species
AUUAGACGCUGGCGGCAUGCCUUACACAUGCAAGUCGAACGGUAGCGCGGGGCAACCUGGCGACGAGUGGCGAACGGGUGAGUAAAGCAUCGGAACGUGCCCUGGAAUGGGGGAUAACGUAGCGAAAGUUACGCUAAUACCGCAUAUUCUGUGAGCAGGAAAGCAGGGGAUCGCAAGACCUUGCGUUCUGGGAGCGGCCGAUGUCGGAUUAGCUAGUUGGUGGGGUAAAAGCCUACCAAGGCGACGAUCCGUAGCGGGUCUGAGAGGAUGAUCCGCCACACUGGGACUGAGACACGGCCCAGACUCCUACGGGAGGCAGCAGUGGGGAAUUUUGGACAAUGGGCGGAAGCCUGAUCCAGCCAUGCCGCGUGGGUGAAGAAGGCC